AGUGCUCACUCCAGGCCACAGACUCCGACCGGAACUGACAGCGCGGCCUCCAGGAUUGAAGCCAUCCCUGGCUUGAAGUAGCCUAAGGAGAUUUGCUAGUUUGAGUCCUGGGAGAUGAGAUGGGGAAGAUGGGCCCAAGCUGCAACAUGAAGGUCCAUGAUGAACAGUUGGCAUCUCCUACAGUGCCUGCCACUUGGUAAUGUUCAAUGCAGCCAAGGGAGCUAAGGUAAUGAACAAAACAGAGAAGUUCCUACCCUCCCUGAUGUUCAUUCUAGCAAAUGGAGACAGAUGAUAGAAACUGCACAUCAUUGAGCAAGAGGGACACCAUGGAUAAUGGAAAGAUCUACGGCAAGGCUGGCUGUCUGCCCUGUCUAAGGAGGACGUACUGGACCAUCCUGCUCUGCACAUCCAGAUGUGUCCAUGAAUACAUCCAUAAAACGAUGGCCUGUGGAAUCCUAUAGGAAAAUGAUCCAGAGCCUGGGCGGUCAGAAGGAACAAACACUUGAUUUACAAAAUAAAUCUUCUAUGUUUAUGUUUUAAAGACACACAGAGGAAAAACAUUUUUAAAUUCAUGAUUUCCCCCCCCAGAUUUUAACUAUUGUAAUCUCUUUCUUUCCUGAGCCUUAGGCAUCUUCAUUAUAAACCAAAAGAUAUAACUUGAGAUUUUCCCAGGGUUUAUAUACUCGUUAGAGUUGGAAACAUGAAAAUGGCAAUUUGGGAUGUCUCUUUGGAGUCAAAAACCUUAUAAAAAUAUAAUGUACUUUCUCUCUC
rnacentral:lncRNA from 1 species